AGCGUACGCCUUUACCGCCCCAGGGAAGCGGGGUCCUGAAGAACGUUUCCCGGCAUGAGGUACAGCCCCAAAGCAGGCUCCCUUCGGAAAGCCUGUGUCUAUUCGCGGUAGGUCUGUGGAGACCGGACUCCGAGCGCCGCGCCGCAACCCGGGAACUGAGUCCUCGCCGCUGGGCAUUCUGGGGAGGGCGGAAGUGCAGAGUCCUGUUGGCAGCGCAAGCUUGCGCUUUCGCUUGCUGCUGCUUCGCUAUCUGCUGCAGUGGAGGACUAAGAGUUCCACUUUUCAAAGUAAAGGGAGUUUACUAUAAAUCCUAAAGUACACACUAAAUCGUAAACAAUGAAGAAUUACUGAAGCAUUUUCAGAUGGCAAAUGAAUUCAGUGGUUUUAAAAUGGAAUAGGAGGAUGAUACUCAAGGCAAGGAGACUUGUGGGAGCUGUUUUAACAAUUCAGAUUUAACUUCAAAUCCCCUGACAAGAAUAAAGUGGACUUUGUUGAAAUGGAAGCCGGCAACAUAGAAUGAGCUAAAAAUAAAGGCUGCAGUUAUUCAGAAAGCCCUGAUGAGAAAGGAUGCAAUUAAUAAUCUCCACUCAACAGGAAACUAAGGAUGAGACUAAGACUUUGAAAUGAGGAAAAGAGGAGACUGUGACAUAAGGAACUUACUUCCUGGAGGGAAAAGGAAAUGCAAAGACUUGGUAUUGGAUAUAACUUGAAGGUCAUCAUGUUUUGUCUUCCAGAUAUGCUGAAAAUCCAAGUCAGAUUCCAAUCCAUAUAUUUCCUGCCUGAGAAGAGUAGGACAAAGUAGAGUCACAUCAUCCACGAAGUCAUUUGGGUCACUCCUGGUGUCCUCAGCGAGGCAACGACAUCUGUAGUGGGACUUACUUGUCUUUCCCAAGACCAGCUUUGUCUCUGGCAACUGUAAAAAGCUCAUGUGCUGAUUUGUGGCUGAUUGUCUUCCCUCCGGUAAUCCCAGCAGUCACUCUCCAGAUGUGCUAGCUCUGCUCGGUGUGGAGCACAUCGCUGACAUUUCGUGACUUUAUGGUCAUGCUUCUAGCCAGCACUAGAUAUCUUUUUUGAGAAGGGAGAGAAUUUGUUUGGAGUCAGAGGGAGGCUGGGCUUGCAGAUAGAGCCAGCAGCUAGCCAGCAGAACAUAGAAAUGUUCUAGUUUGUCUUUUGCUGACAGCUCCCAUUUACUGAAUACUUUUCUCUAGUCAGAUGAAAGAGAAGCACUCAAAAGCUUGGCAUUUGUCUCUUAGAGGUGGAGCCACAGGGAAUGAUGAAUGGCUCAUGUCUAAAAGAAGUCUACGUGAAAGUGGGUGGCUGAAGACAGCAGAAUGGCAAGAGCAAGGGUCUUGGAUAUCCAGGCCCAAAAAUAUGAACAAAAUUGGUCAGAAUUAUGAGAAGAAAUGGGAAUAUCCCCAAGUGAAGAAGUAUGAAAUAAUCAUACCAGUAUUGGGAACAUAGAUUAAACAAAUUUAAAAUUAGGAUAGAAUACAAAGUUUUAAAUCAUAUAAUUAAAAGCUUCAUCUAAUGAAGGGAAGGCAGACUGUUUUCUAUGAGAAUCAGCUAAAUUCACUAGUAUGCCUGUGUUCAAGCUUAACUUUACAAAAGCAAGCAUCAGGCCAGACUUGGCUCCAGUUCCAUAAUCUUCUGUCUGUCUGAUCUAAUGCAACAUGGGAAACUUGUAUACCCAGCGAAUAAAACAUUUAAAUCAAAUACCUGUGUGUCAUCUUCAAAAGUCACCACAUAAUAAGAGCAAAGAAAGGUUCAUCAAAUUUCAGAGAGAGGAGUCAACUGCUUUUGACCAUUUAUCUGACCUCAGUGUAAUUACACUAAAAAUAAAUAAAAAUGUUAAAAUCUGUCUUAAAAUACACUGCCAAACAAAGCUGUCAUACUGUUGUGUUCUUAAUAGCAUAAUCUUCAGCAGCAAAAGAUACUGGGAAAUUUAAGAGCCUAUCAAUGGAAGAAAAGCUAAAAAAGGAAAUGUCAUGUAGUCAUGCAAUGAAAUACUAUCUAGGAGGAAAAAUAACUGACAAAUUGAAAAAGUAAGGUCCUUUAUUUUCUUUUUAUAUAUUCUAUAUAUAUGUAUAUCUGAGGUAAUUUAAUAUUUAUAUUGAUAACUGUUGAAGUCUGGGCUAACUUACUAAAUACUAGACAAAUUAGGAGGAUUAUCUUGUUUUACUACUGCAUGUUUAAUGUCUUGUCUUUUAGUAGCUAUGUAAUAAAUAUCUCUCUAUUAGAUGAGAAUAUAAAUGAGAAAAUAAUUACUUGUCAAAGGUUAUUUUUCCUUAAUAUGGCAAUAUUCUAGAUCCAACCAUAGGAAAUACAGAGGAUAUAAACCAUAGAAAUUCUAUUACCAAAAUGUAGUCUUAUAGAAUGAAUAACCCGCUGUAUUUAACAAGUAAACUGUACAUUAAAGAUAACAAUAUGCAAUAUAUUAACCAGUGUUAAUCCUCUAUUAUUUUGUUUUGAAAUUCUGUAUCAUCAUUUUUACUUUUUUUAAAUAAAAAAAUAAAUCAUAAGUAAAAAGUUGA